UGGAUGUCACCAAGCUGGACUGCUGCUUCCUGGUUCUGACUGCCUCCAGGCUCCCCCACCACCCCCAGUGACUGAGGCGGGCUGGCCAGGGGCAGAGGAGAGGAAGACAGAAGGAGGGUGCGCUAAAGCUGCAUUGAAAGUCCCUCACGUCGCCACGGACCCUUGGGCUUUUCGGGGAGUGAAGGCUCUGCCGCGAAGCACGGCUGAGUCCUGGUCUGCAGCUGGUGGCCUUGGCCAUCAGAGUCUGAGACACUCUUGAGACACCGAGUCUUAGCAUUCUGGAACACCAAGAACUUAGAGAUCAAGCCAGGCGUGCCUAACACCCAGGACUUCUUCACCACCUGGGGAGAUGUGCCGUGGAGACAUCAAGCUGCUACUCACAGUCACACAGAGACUCAGACCAUGUCCCCCAGGGGCACACGGAUGUGACCACAGAUGAUGCUUGAGCACCUAUGUACACCCCUUCACACACACGCGGACAAACUGACGCUCACAGGUGCGCACACGCACACACACACACUACCCACGCCUCCUCCUGGAGGCCCCCCACGACCUUCCCUGCCCCUCCCUUCAUCCUUUGUCUCCCUCUGCCAGCCACAUAUUGUGGCUGUUUUCCCCAAAGCCCCAGCCUGUCACUUGAAAGA